rnacentral:misc_RNA from 1 species
AAUUCUCAAACUACUACUUGGUUUUAUAUCAAGUUAGUAGCUUUGGAUGUGGAGGUUGCAGGCUUCUUGUAGAGUCUGCUCUUCUUAAAAGCAUUAGUGGUUAUUGAUUCCACUUCUUGGUGUGAUAAUAUCUACGCCUUGUAAGAUUGGGUCUAAUGUAGCUGCUCUCAAACCGUCUGCAAAGACAAUUUGAACC